UUAAGCGACUAAGCGUACACGGUGGAUGCCCUGGCAGUCAGAGGCGAUGAAGGACGUGCUAAUCUGCGAAAAGCGUCGGUAAGGUGAUAUGAACCGUUAUAACCGGCGAUGUCCGAAUGGGGAAACCCAGUGCAAUUCGUUGCACUAUCGUUAACUGAAUACAUAGGUUAACGAGGCGAACCGGGGGAACUGAAACAUCUAAGUACCCCGAGGAAAAGAAAUCAACCGAGAUUCCCCCAGUAGCGGCGAGCGAACGGGGAGCAGCCCAGAGUCUGAAUCAGCUUGUGUGUUAGUGGAACGGUCUGGAAAGUCCGACGGUACAGGGUGAUAGUCCCGUACACCAAAAUGCACAGGUUGUGAACUCGAAGAGUAGGGCGGGACACGUGGUAUCCUGUCUGAAUAUGGGGGGACCAUCCUCCAAGGCUAAAUACUCCUGACUGACCGAUAGUGAACCAGUACCGUGAGGGAAAGGCGAAAAGAACCCCGGCGAGGGGAGUGAAAAAGAACCUGAAACCGUGUACGUACAAGCAGUGGGAGCACCUUCGGGUGUGACUGCGUACCUUUUGUAUAAUGGGUCAGCGACUUAUAUUCUGUAGCAAGGUUAACCGUAUAGGGGAGCCGCAGGGAAACCGAGUCUUAACUGGGCGUUAAGUUGCAGGGUAUAGACCCGAAACCCGGUGAUCUAGCCAUGGGCAGGUUGAAGGUUGGGUAACACUAACUGGAGGACCGAACCGACUAAUGUUGAAAAAUUAGCGGAUGACUUGUGGCUGGGGGUGAAAGGCCAAUCAAACCGGGAGAUAGCUGGUUCUCCCCGAAAGCUAUUUAGGUAGCGCCUCGUGAAUUCAUCUUCGGGGGUAGAGCACUGUUUCGGCUAGGGGGUCAUCCCGACUUACCAACCCGAUGCAAACUACGAAUACCGAAGAAUGUUAUCACGGGAGACACACGGCGGGUGCUAACGUCCGUCGUGAAGAGGGAAACAACCCAGACCGCCAGCUAAGGUCCCAAAGUCAUGGUUAAGUGGGAAACGAUGUGGGAAGGCACAGACAGCCAGGAUGUUGGCUUAGAAGCAGCCAUCAUUUAAAGAAAGCGUAAUAGCUCACUGGUCGAGUCGGCCUGCGCGGAAGAUGUAACGGGGCUAAACCAUGCACCGAAGCUGCGGCAGCGACACUAUGUGUUGUUGGGUAGGGGAGCGUUCUGUAAGCCUGCGAAGGUGUGCUGUGAGGCAUGCUGGAGGUAUCAGAAGUGCGAAUGCUGACAUAAGUAACGAUAAAGCGGGUGAAAAGCCCGCUCGCCGGAAGACCAAGGGUUCCUGUCCAACGUUAAUCGGGGCAGGGUGAGUCGACCCCUAAGGCGAGGCCGAAAGGCGUAGUCGAUGGGAAACAGGUUAAUAUUCCUGUACUUGGUGUUACUGCGAAGGGGGGACGGAGAAGGCUAUGUUAGCCGGGCGACGGUUGUCCCGGUUUAAGCAUGUAGGCUGGUUGUCCAGGCAAAUCCGGAUAAUCAAGGCUGAGGUGUGAUGACGAGGCACUACGGUGCUGAAGUAACAAAUGCCCUGCUUCCAGGAAAAGCCUCUAAGCAUCAGGUAACAUCAAAUCGUACCCCAAACCGACACAGGUGGUCAGGUAGAGAAUACCAAGGCGCUUGAGAGAACUCGGGUGAAGGAACUAGGCAAAAUGGUGCCGUAACUUCGGGAGAAGGCACGCUGGUGUGUAGGUGAAGCCCCUGCGGGUGGAGCUGAGACCAGUCGAAGAUACCAGCUGGCUGCAACUGUUUAUUAAAAACACAGCACUGUGCAAACACGAAAGUGGACGUAUACGGUGUGACGCCUGCCCGGUGCCGGAAGGUUAAUUGAUGGGGUUAUCCGUAAGGAGAAGCUCUUGAUCGAAGCCCCGGUAAACGGCGGCCGUAACUAUAACGGUCCUAAGGUAGCGAAAUUCCUUGUCGGGUAAGUUCCGACCUGCACGAAUGGCGUAAUGAUGGCCAGGCUGUCUCCACCCGAGACUCAGUGAAAUUGAACUCGCUGUGAAGAUGCAGUGUACCCGCGGCAAGACGGAAAGACCCCGUGAACCUUUACUAUAGCUUGACACUGAACAUUGAGCCUUGAUGUGUAGGAUAGGUGGGAGGCUUUGAAGCGUGGACGCCAGUCUGCGUGGAGCCAACCUUGAAAUACCACCCUUUAAUGUUUGAUGUUCUAACGUUGGCCCCUGACCGGGGUUGCGGACAGUGUCUGGUGGGUAGUUUGACUGGGGCGGUCUCCUCCCAAAGCGUAACGGAGGAGCACGAAGGUUAGCUAAUCCUGGUCGGACAUCAGGAGGUUAGUGCAAUGGCAUAAGCUAGCUUGACUGCGAGCGUGACGGCGCGAGCAGGUGCGAAAGCAGGUCAUAGUGAUCCGGUGGUUCUGAAUGGAAGGGCCAUCGCUCAACGGAUAAAAGGUACUCCGGGGAUAACAGGCUGAUACCGCCCAAGAGUUCAUAUCGACGGCGGUGUUUGGCACCUCGAUGUCGGCUCAUCACAUCCUGGGGCUGAAGUAGGUCCCAAGGGUAUGGCUGUUCGCCAUUUAAAGUGGUACGCGAGCUGGGUUUAGAACGUCGUGAGACAGUUCGGUCCCUAUCUGCCGUGGGCGCUGGAGAAUUGAGGGGGGCUGCUCCUAGUACGAGAGGACCGGAGUGGACGCAUCACUGGUGUUCGGGUUGUCAUGCCAAUGGCACUGCCCGGUAGCUAAAUGCGGAAGAGAUAAGUGCUGAAAGCAUCUAAGCACGAAACUUGCCCCGAGAUGAGUUCUCCCUGAGACUUUAAGUCUCCUGAAGGAACGUUGAAGACGACGACGUUGAUAGGCCGGGUGUGUAAGCGCAGCGAUGCGUUGAGCUAACCGGUACUAAUGAACCGUGAGGCUUAACCUU
rnacentral:rRNA from 1 species